rnacentral:rRNA from 1 species
ACUCAAAUGAAUAGACGGGGGCCCGCACAAGCGGUGGAACAUGUGGUUUAAUUCGACGUUACGCGAGGAACCUUACCUAGGCUUGACAUGCAUUUGACCGCCGUAGAAACACGGUCUUUUGGGUUUCGAUUCAGACAGAUGCACAGGUGCUGCAUGGCUGUCGUCAGCUCGUGUCGUGAGAUGUUGGGUUAAGUCCUCUAACGAGCGCAACCCCUGUCGUCAGUUGCUACCUACGUAAGUAGGGCACUCUGGCGAGACUGCCUGGGAAACCAGGAGGAAGGUGGGGAUGACGUCAAGUCAUCAUGGUCCUUAUGCCUAGGGCUACACACGUGUUACAAUGGCCAGUACAAAGAGUUGCAAACUUGUAAGAGUAAGCUAAUCUCAAAAAGCUGGUCUAAGUUCGGAUUGAGGUCUGCAAUUCGACCUCAUGAAGUUGAAAUCGCUAGUAAUCGCGCAUCAGAACGGCGCGGUGAAUACGUUCUCGGGCCUUGUACACACCGCCCGU